rnacentral:lncRNA from 1 species
AUUGCAAGCAAAAGUUCACACAAGGGCACCCCCUUGUGUAUUAAAGGUACUUUGAAGACAAGAAUCACUUACCUUAUGAGACUCUUGAUGUCUCUUCAAAUGGUCAGUUUUUCCAGAACUGGCAUAACUAUAUAAUUUGACAUAUUUUUUAUAUUUGUCUUAUAGACUCCAACUAAAAUUCUAUCAAAAUCAUUCCAUACAGCAUUAGCCCUCUACAGAAAGAAGAUCCAGCUUCAAUAGAAGGGGCUUCAAAGGGAGUAGGAAGAGUUUCUUCUUUCAUAGAAAUAGGAAGAAAGUUGGAUUACAUGCGGCAAUACUCUCAUCAUCAUAAUUUGUCAUCUAAACUGAGUAAAUGCAAAAAAAAUAAAAACUAACCCGUAACCAGUAAAAAAAAAUUGAAUAGAGCCGAAGAGGAAGAAGAGGUAGAGUGGAGAGUUGGAGAGUCGGAAGAAGAGGGUCGGACCGAAAGAGGAGAGCCAAAGAGUAGAGCUAGAAGAGCUACCUCUUGAACUCCGACUUUCAAAAUGGAGAUGCUUUCUCCUCUUGAAUUGCUAAACUAUAAUUGUUAUUUGCUAAAUAUUGAAUGGAAGAGAGCAGAAUUGCUAGAAGAGAAUAAAUAAGAGUAGAGAGAUUAGAAAAGGA